GGGUUACACUCCACUGCACCUAGCGGCGAUGUACGGUCAUGACCAUAUAGUCAAGCUCCUCAUUGAUGCAUACGAUGCCGAUGUCACAAUACGGGACUACAGUGGGCGGAGACCGGGACAGCGCCUGCGGCCGGGGUCCUCCACAAAUGUGGAUGAAGUCGUUCAACGUAAGAAGCAGCGCAGCAGCAGCCUCUCUUCUUUCAAUCCCCGCCACUCCAUGAAAGACUUCAAGGAACUUGUAACAACCAUUGGAUCUGCCCUGAAAAUGAAGGCACCACCUAAGCACCACUAAAUUUUCACUCACUGUGUUUGACAUUUUUUUGUGCGUAUCUGAGAUUCUGACAACUGUUAAGUUGUUGUGAACACCAUGGCAUGAAGGGAAGGAUUAAGUCUGAAUGUAUCCCACCUCUGAAUACUGUUUCACCUUCAAAACCACCCUUGCACCCUCGUAUGAAGAAGCUAGAGCUCUGCUAGACUCUUGUUCUUCAAAGAAGUGGACUUGAAAGCUGUUGUUCAUGGGGAUUCAUCUUCAUCAACUUCUUAAACCUGCCUGUAGAUCAGUCUUCUGAGAACUUCCCACCUUCCCCUCAUCUAUGAGGGUCAACUGUACUUUGUAGAAUGUGUUUCUUGUGUUAUUCUUACCAAGGAUCCUGAAGAUCUUUGAAACUGUGAUGGCAUUGUGCCGUUAAUUCAUUGUAACAACAAUAGUGAAGGCUGUACGUUUAUCCUACCCACCGAAAUUAAUCAUGACAUGCAAUUGUGUAAUGUAACUUUGGAUUGUAAAGUUGUAAGUUGUUGAAUGUAAGGUGUGGGGAUAAAGAAGUGUAAGUUAUUGUAUCUGGUAUUUGUCACAGUAUUACUAUCUAAAAAGAUAUUUUGAUGCAGGAUGUGUUUGUAACUUUCAUAAAGCAGUAACAAACUUAAGUAAUGAAGACUGCAAUUGGUAUAAAAGUUGUCAAAAACGAAACUAUAAUCUAAUCAGAAAUUGCAGACAAAUGUAAAAUUACUGUAACAGUAACAAUUUUUUGGAGAGAUUUACAAAGUUAUGUUAAAGAAAUCUCUCGUAAUACCUUCAAUCAUGGAAAGGAGAACAUGUAAGUGUACAGUUACUCCAUUAUUUCUGACAUUAUUAACUCAAGAUGCAAUAGUGUAUAUGGAAAUUAUUUUGGUGAAGGGUACAAUAUUAAGCAGGAUAAAUGAAAAACAUCAAUAUUUUUGACAGAAGUUAUGUUGCACUGUAAAGUAAUCAUUUUUGGGGAAGGGAAAGUUUGAAGUUUUUUAAGGUAGUUCCAGUUGCCCUGAAACUUGAUUUAUUGAAGAAUUGAUGAGUUGUGGCUGUAGCCUUGGAGGCUGUAACAGGAUAAAGCCCCUCCACAUUAUUACACAGAUAAGCAUGUUUCUACAGAACUGUGAUUACAUCUGUUUGGGCCUUUCUGCUGGGAGAUAAGGGCUGCUGGGGGAGAAUCAAGAAACAAUUAGAAGGAAAACUGUUUUCACAACUUCAAUCAUUCUUGGUCUGUAGAAGUGAAGUAAUGAAAAUGUAUGAGGAGGAUGGACGGUCUGGCCAGGAAAUCAAUGCUCGGCUUCCUGCAAAAUCAGCAACGAUUUAGACAAACUGAGCUAAUUUUCCAUCAAGUUUGUGCCGGGGUGAUACGUCUUCAUAAAGCAGCCGGCGGUUCAUAAGUUGGCGGGAGAGAUGUGGGUUCGGCGUGCCUCACUAUCGAUCCUGGUGAUGAUGUGCUCUCUGACCAAAGGUGUUGGUGGGCAGAUAAUGUUGAUGUCCUGUCCUGACAGUGAGAAAUGGCUGCGAUAACUUAUCAGUAGUGUUACAAUCACACCGCUCACCCCCGGCACUGAUGGUCUUUAGAUUUCAGACUAAUGCCAAACGGAAUGUGCCGUUACUGGAAAUGAGAAAGUCUCCGGCCGCCGCAUGCCUGAACACCUGCUGAUGGCAGAACUUUGGCCGCCUCUCGGCUUGAGCCAGGGAGGAAAUUGAUUGGUGAAAAUUACACAGGGACUGCGAGUCUAGAUAGUUGCUGAUUACAAAGGCCGGGUGAUAUCUACAUGCAGCCGUGGUCAUACGGACAUGGCUGGACAACGGGAGAUUAUUAACCUUUCACAUGUUGGACAAAAAAUUGAUGUGGGCUCCUCCGAUCAGGGGAAGCUGGGGACAUGGGUUGGAGAGAUAAGACAUAUUUUCUCAUUUGCAACCUCAUCUUAACAUUUUGCAGAGUAAUUAGUUUUCCAAAAGAGAGUGGGAUGAGUGAACUGGUUGCAUAGUUUAAGAGAACUGACAGAGUGUAUUUUUGUAUGCUCAGUUUCUUUGCAAUAUUUAAGGAAGAAAUUGUUGUUACAAGUCAGGCUUGUACUUGUGCAAAAUAUCCUUACUUCCUUGGAAGUUUGUUCUGUUUCCUGUUUACAUGAUGGAAACAGACUAACCUCCUUGGAGCUGGGGAGCAGUUGUGGAAAGAAAUAAUGUGUCGUAACAAGACUUUUGAUAAUAAACUUAUUCUGGUAGAAAUCUCA